rnacentral:rRNA from 1 species
CGCCUGUUUAUCAAAAACAUCGCCUCUUGCUAAACCAAAAGUAUAAGAGGUCCCGCCUGCCCUGUGACUAUAUGUUUAACGGCCGCGGUAUUUUGACCGUGCGAAGGUAGCGCAAUCACUUGUCUUUUAAAUGGGGACCUGUAUGAAUGGCACAACGAGGGCUUGACUGUCUCCUCUUUCAAGUCAAUGAAAUUGAUCUCCCCGUGCAGAAGCGGGGAUAAAUUCAUAAGACGAGAAGACCCUAUGGAGCUUUAGACACUAAAGCAGAUCAACAUUAAUACCCAAGACACAGGGCACGAAUAAACUGAGUCCUGCCCUAAUGUCUUAGGUUGGGGCGACCGCGGAGAAAUAAAAAACCCCCGCAAGGACCGAAUGUACCACAUUCACAACCAAGAGCGACAGCUCUAAUUAACAGACAUUUCUGACCAAUAAGAUCCGGCAACGCCGAUCAAUGGACCAAGUUACCCUAGGGAUAACAGCGCAAUCUCCUCUUAGAGCCCGUAUCAACGAGGAGGUUUACGACCUCGAUGUUGGAUCAGGACAUCCUAAUGGUGCAGCCGCUAUUAAGGGUUMGUUUGUUCAACGAUUAAAGUCCUACGUGAUCUGAGUUCAGACCGG